UGGGGAUUAGAUACCCCACUAUGCUCGUUCUCAAACCUUUCCGCCAGAGUAUUAUGAGCCACAGCUUAAAACUCAAAGAACUUGGCGGUGCUCUACACCCACCUAGAGGAGCCUGUUCUAUAAUCGAUACUCCACGAUAAACCUCACCGCCUCUGGCCAAUACAGCCUAUAUACCACCGUCCUCUGCUUAUCUUCAAAAGAGCUAUAAUAAGCAAAAUAAUUUAAAAUAAAAAAGCCAGGUCAAGGUGUAGCAUAUGAAGCGGAAAGAAAUGGGCUACAUUUUCUUCCUUAGAAAACACGUUAAGUCCUAUGAAAUAAAACAAAAGGAGGAUUUAGAAGUAAAAAGAAAUAAGAAUGUUCUUUUAAACCAGGCAAUAAAGCACGCACACACCGCCCGUCACCCUCAUUUAAUUAAACAGAAGAGGAAAGUCGUAACAUGGUAAGCCUACCGGAAGGUGGUCUUAGAUAUAGGAUAUAGCUUAAAUAAAGCAGUCUGCUUACACCAAAAAAAUAUUUGUUCAACUCAAAUUAUCCUGUGUUUUAAACAUAGCCUGAUACACCCUCUCUUUUACCUUAAAUAUCAAAACAUUCUUAAAUGUUAGUAAGGGCGACGGAAAA
rnacentral:rRNA from 1 species